NNNNNNNUUUGACUGUCCGUCUUAUAUGAAAUUUUUUAAUAAUUCGUAUUUUCAUUGUAGUUAGAUGAUAAAACAUGAUUAAUAUUUUAUGCGUGACUUGUCUUUUUAAUUUUUUUCAUAAUAUUUUUAAAUAAGACGAAUGGUCAAACGUUGGACACGGAAACC
rnacentral:pre_miRNA from 1 species